AUGGCCGCUACGGUUGGCGCUGUGCCGAUCCGAAGCCAGGAGCCAGGUGCUUCCUCCUGGUCUCCCAUGUGGGUGCAGGGCCCAAGCACUUGGGCCAUCCUCCACUGCCUUCCCGGGCCACAGCAGAGAGCUGGCCUGGAAGAGGGGCAACCCCGACUAAAACCAGGCACCCAUAUGGGAUGCCGACGCCGCAAGCGGAGGAUUAACCAAGUGAGCCAUGGCACCGGCCCCACUAAUUUUGUUAAACUUGAAGGAGUGAAAAUCAACCUCUCUCUCGUCUAUCUAUUCCUUCAAAAAUCACUGUUAUGCCCUUCAAUGAACUCACUAUUGAGUAAAGAUGCUGUCAAGGAUUCCAAAAGCCCCAACGUUUACUCCGCAUGUCCUCGGAGCGGCAUGCCCAGACUGCUGCUGUACCUAAGGAAGCCUAAAGUGACCUCCUGCGGUGGCCUCCAUGGAAAAGACCUGCUCGGCCUCUCAUGUUCACGCCUCUGUCCACCCGACCCACUCUCUCCCCUGCAGCCCCCACACUCACGCCUCUGUCAACCCGACCCACUCUCUCCCCUACAGCCCCCACGCUCACGCCUCUGUCAACCCGACCCACUCUCUCCCCUGCAGCCCCCACGCUCACGCCUCUGUCCACCCGACCCACUCUCUCCCCUGCAGCCCCCACGCUCACGCCUCUGUCCACCCGACCCACUCUCUCCCCUGCAGCCCCUCCAGCCUUCCUUCUCCUUCUCCACUGGAUUUAGUGCACGCUCGUUCGUAGUCUCAGUAUUUUUCACUUCACCCUUUUCAAUUGGGUUGCCAGGCCCUUUAGUGCCUCCUUUUCCGGGGGAUUUUCACUGGGCCAGCAAAGCCAAAGGCUCUUCCUGGGUUUUCCUAAAAAUCUCCAGGGCCUGGGAGAGAAUCAUGUCUGGUGCCCUGAAGGAAAGAGAGGGAGGCAAAGAUCUUUUUUUUAAAAAACAAAAACAAAAACAAAAACAAAACAAAACAAAAAAAAACACCUUGUUUCCUUUUUCCUCUUGGAAAAAUUCACCUGGACUGAGAAAGGGGGAGCAGAGGGGCCGCUCACCCCUGCUCCCCAGGAAGGCCUGCAGGAGCCGGCUGCAGAUUGGCUCUCGGGAGUAA
rnacentral:lncRNA from 1 species